rnacentral:rRNA from 1 species
CACGUAGGGCGCAAGCGUUGUCCGGAAUUAUUGGGCGUAAAGAGCUCGUAGGUGGUUUGUUACGUCUGCUGUGAAAACCUAGGGCUUAACCCUGGGCUUGCAGUGGAUACGGGCAGACUAGAGGUAGGUAGGGGAGAAUGGAAUUCCUGGUGUAGCGGUGAAAUGCGCAGAUAUCAGGAGGAACACCGGUGGCGAAGGCGGUUCUCUAGUACGGUACUGACGCUGAGACGCGAAAGCGUGGGGAGCGAACAGG